rnacentral:rRNA from 1 species
UAAGUAGGCGGUGGAAAAUGAACCAAAUGGGAUUCCUUAAGUAAUUGCGAAUGAACAAGGAAAUGCUCAGCUUGAAAAAUGGGGCCUUCGGCUUUGAAUUGUAAUUUUGAAAUGUAUUGCCAAUGGAGGCGCAGGUGCAAGCCUAUUGAAAGAAAGCGUCAAUGAGGGUGAGAUUCCUUUUUGUCAUUUGCAGUCCUCCGUGCACGGUAUAUAUUUGACGAGUCACACUCCUCGGCAUUGGAAUGCAAAGUGGGUGGUAAAUUCCAUGUAAAGGUAAAUAUAUUAUUGAGACUGAUAGCAAACAAGUACCAUGAGGGAAAUAUGAAAAGGACUUUGAAAAGAGAAUUAAAAGAGUCUGCAUUUGCUGAACAGAAAGCAAACAGAAUUGAUCUUGCCUGGUGAGAUUGUUGCGUCUACUUCUGCAUUUCUAUGUUGGAUGUGGGUGCGAUGGUUCUUGCCUUGAAUGUCAGCUUCUUUUUCUGCAAAUCAUUACCCUUGCACAUGAAUGGUAAUUUGCCUGCGGGUAUUGGAAUGCAUGUGUUUGCCAUGAUUUGUGAUUUGAUACAUGUGUCUGGUGGUACUUGUGUGUGUUCCUUUGUCAAAGGGGAAGGUUUGCUUCCUUGAGCACCACAAGCCCUUGCAC